AAUAAACAAAGGCAUAACAGGUGAAAACUUGGGACGCAAAGCUAUAGGGUCUAAGUCGAUGGAUUGUUUAAAAUUCAUUAUGAUACGACAGCCAGUUGCCACA
rnacentral:ncRNA from 1 species